rnacentral:rRNA from 1 species
UACAGAGGGGGCCAGCGUUAUUCGGAAUUAUUGGGCGUAAAGGGCGCGUAGGCGGCUUUGCGUGUCUUUCGUGAAAUCCCUCGGCUCAACUGAGGACGUGCGGAAGAAACUGCAGGGCUGGAGUCCGGGAGAGGAGGGUGGAAUUCCCAGUGUAGCGGUGAAAUGCGUAGAUAUUGGGAGGAACACCGGUGGCGAAGGCGGCCCUCUGGACCGGUACUGACGCUGAUGCGCGAAAGCGUGGGGGAGCAAACGGG